UACGGAGGUUCCUAGCGUUGUUCGGAAUUACUGGGCGUAAAGCGUGCGCAGGCGGUCUGUUAAGACCGAUGUGAAAUCCCCGGGCUUAACCUGGGAACUGCAUUGGUGACUGGCAGGCUUUGAGUGUGGCAGAGGGAGGUAGAAUUCCACGUGUAGCAGUGAAAUGCGUAGAGAUGUGGAGGAAUACCGAUGGCGAAGGCAGCCUCCUGGGCCAACACUGACGCUCAUGCACGAAAGCGUGGGGAGCAAACAGG
rnacentral:rRNA from 1 species